UACGUAGGCAGCAAGCGUUGUUCGGAGUUACUGGGCGUAAAGAGCGUGUAGGCGGCCAGACAGGUCCGUUGUGAAAACUCGAGGCUCAACCUCGAGAUGUCGAUGGAAACCGUCUGGCUAGAGUCCGGAAGAGGAGUGUGGAAUUCCUGGUGUAGCGGUGAAAUGCGCAGAUAUCAGGAAGAACACCUAUGGCGAAGGCAGCACUCUGGGACGGUACUGACGCUGAGACGCGAAAGCGUGGGGAGCGAACAGG
rnacentral:rRNA from 1 species